rnacentral:rRNA from 1 species
AGUGAACGCUGGCGGUAGGCCUAACACAUGCAAGUCGAACGGCAGCACAGUAAGAGCUUGCUCUUACGGGUGGCGAGUGGCGGACGGGUGAGGAAUACAUCGGAAUCUACUUUUUCGUGGGGGAUAACGUAGGGAAACUUACGCUCAUACCGCAUACGACCUACGGGUGAAAGCAGGGGAUCUUCGGACCUUGCGCGAUUGAAUGAGCCGAUGUCGGAUUAGCUAGUUGGCGGGGUAAAGGCCCACCAAGGCGACGAUCCGUAGCUGGUCUGAGAGGAUGAUCAGCCAAAAUGGAACUGAGACAAGGUCCAGACUCCUACGGGAGGAAGCAGUGGGGAAUAUUGGACAAUGGGCGCAAGCCUGAUCCAGCCAUACCGCGUGGGUGAAGAAGGCCUUCGGGUUGUAAAGCCCUUUUGUUGGGAAAGAAAAGCAGCAGGUUAAUACCCCGCUGUUCUGACGGUACCCAAAGAAUAAGCACCGGCUAACUUCGUG